CAAUAAUGCAACAAGUUUCAAGGCUAUGCUAUGACUCUUUCAGUACACAAUAUACUGUUGUAACCCCAAGUUAAUGGAACUUCCCCAAAUCCGGGAAUCUCCCACGACUGUGCACUUACGACUUAUUAUAAACAACAGAUAAGCUAUUCAGACUUUAUGAUGCCAUCUUGAACUAAGUCAGGAAAAUUUCCAUGACGUAUGCACCCUUUAG